CUCUAUCAAUGAGUUAAAAGGGAAUCCGGUGUAAAUCCGGAACUGACGCGCAGCGGUAAGGGGAAGUCACGGCGAACGCAUAAUUGCAGACACUGCUCCGCAAGGGGUGGGAAGUCUUCGCCCGGCGUGCUGAUAGGGCACGGCUCCCAAGUCCGAAGACCUGCCGGGAUAA
rnacentral:ncRNA from 1 species